rnacentral:rRNA from 1 species
GUACCGUACGAAUAAGCAUCGGCUAACUCCGUGCCAGCAGCCGCGGUAAUACGGGGGAUGCAAGCGUUAUCCGGAUUUAUGGGGUUUAAAGGGAGCGUAGGCGGUUCAGCAAGUCAGAAGUGAAAGCCCGGGGCUCAACUCCGGGACUGCUUUUGAAACUGUUGAACUAGAUUGCAGGAGAGGUAAGUGGAAUUCCUAGUGUAGCGGUGAAAUGCGUAGAUAUUAGGAGGAACACCAGUGGCGAAGGCGGCUUACUGGACUGUAAAUGACGCUGAGGCUCGAAAGCGUGGGGAGCAAACA